GUUAUUUUGGCAGAUUAGUGCGAUGAAUUUAGAAUUCAAAAAUAUAAUUUUUAUUAUAGAUAAUA
rnacentral:tRNA from 1 species